rnacentral:rRNA from 1 species
CCUGCGCGGAAGAUGUAACGGGGCUAAACCAUGCACCGAAGCUGCGGCAGCGAUGCUUAUGCGUUGUUGGGUAGGGGAGCGUUCUGUAAGCCUGCGAAGGUGUGCUGUGAGGCAUGCUGGAGGUAUCAGAAGUGCGAAUGCUGACAUAAGUAACGAUAAAGCGGGUGAAAAGCCCGCUCGCCGGAAGACCAAGGGUUCCUGUCCAACGUUAAUCGGGGCAGGGUGAGUCGACCCCUAAGGCGAGGCCGAAAGGCGUAGUCGAUGGGAAACAGGUUAAUAUUCCUGUACUUGGUGUUACUGCGAAGGGGGGACGGAGAAGGCUAUGUUGGCCGGGCGACGGUUGUCCCGGUUUAAGCGUGUAGGCUGGUUUUCCAGGCAAAUCCGGAAAAUCAAGGCUGAGGCGUGAUGACGAGGCACUACGGUGCUGAAGCAACAAAUGCCCUGCUUCCAGGAAAAGCCUCUAAGCAUCAGGUAACAUCAAAUCGUACCCCAAACCGACACAGGUGGUCAGGUAGAGAAUACCAAGGCGCUUGAGAGAACUCGGGUGAAGGAACUAGGCAAAAUGGUGCCGUAACUUCGGGAGAAGGCACGCUGAUAUGUAGGUGAAGUCCCUUGCGGAUGG